GCGUGCCGUCGGUGCGGGUGGCGCAGGUGUGGCUGUCGCCGGCGCUGACCGUGGCCCAGCCGGUGCCCGUGCCGACCCGGGUCGGCACGUU
rnacentral:tRNA from 1 species